rnacentral:lncRNA from 1 species
GCUAACAAAUGUGUCAGUCUAAAGAACUAUAAGUUAUUUGCUUUCAAUUUCAUUCUUUUCAGGAUCUAAAAAAAGGUUAGAAAUGAGUAAAAGACAAAUUAAGCUUUGGAAAACAUUGUACACACGUGGUUAGAACCAAACUACACGGAGAAAAAUACAUGAAAUCGUAUUUAUUUAAUCCCAUUUCUAAAAAUGCACCAUCGGAAGAAAUAAAUAUGUGCGCUAGAGUGUCAUUCUCGCACAUUGUCCAUUGUUCAGACCCAAUUCACAACUUUUCAUCGUGAAAUUCUUUAUUGUUGAACAUUCUA